GCUGCGGACCGGGCCCCUCUGGCGCGCUUGCCUUGGCUUUGGCGCGUGAUGUCGGACCGCAUCG
rfam:Sphingobium sp. MI1205 chromosome 2, complete sequence.